ACCUGGCUGACUCAGUUAGUAGAGUGCGUGACUCUUGAUCUCGCGUCAUGAGUUCAAGUCCCAUGUUGGGUG
rnacentral:tRNA from 1 species